UAAAAUAUUAAUUUGCAGAAUUAAGCAAAGUGAAGCACUUCUUGUGCAACAAGUGGAUAGAGGCUAUGAAAGCAGGUGGAAUUGGUCUUGACUGAAACUUGAAACUACAAUCAAGGUCCAUGCAGUCAAACACACAUUCAUGAUGCGACUUAAGAA